GGAACAACAUGGAGGCAGAAAGGCCCAUACAGCAGCACAGAGAGGAGAGCUUCCCUUCACCAUUUCUAAACCUCGUCUUCGCUUGGCUCUUCUUUUGAACUGCUCUCCAGUGGGUGCUUGGGGAGCCUGUGAUGAUCAGCUUCUUAUCGCUGCAAAUUUACUACCGGCAUGUCUCAUCAGUACCUAAGGCAGGUGAGGAACCACAGGAAAACUCUUACCAAUGAGUCUGGUUACCCACCUUCAAUAAUUCACUUAAAAAAAGGAAAAAAGGGAUGAAAGAGGAGAGGAAGGCUGGGUAAGACCACACUCUCAUUGGACUGUCUUUUCUUCCAGACCUAUUCCUUCCUUGUUAUUAGUAUUUUCUAAAUUCGGGUACAGCCACUGCUCAUGUGGAAAAGAGUUUAUUUACAAGGAGGAAAAGGCUGUUGCUGACAUGCAAUGUGCUGUUGCUUGAUUGCUUCCAUUGCUGGGAAAGUGGAGCUGGCUCGGAGCUAGACGGCCAGAUAAGCCAAAUUCACGGGGAGGAGGUGAGGGGCUGGAAAGGAGCCAACGAGAUAGUAUGACAUGGCAGGUACAAAAAGACACUUGAUCCGAGUGGGAGUCAGCUCCAGCAGGCAAGCUGUUGUGAGGAGUAAUGGCGAGUAUGUUAAUAACAAAUGACAGCCUUUGAAGUUGGCCUAGUGGUGGACAGACAGUUGCCAAACAGGGGCUCCUCCUGUAGUGCAAAGCCUUGGAAUGAGUACACUGCGAUUCAGAUGGGUGAGGGGGAGCACGAAGUGAAGAGCAAAGCUGGUCGUGAUAAAUGAGUCCUGGAGGAUUCGUGGCAGCCUAAUGGGGAACAUACGCAAUGCACCCUGUUUAUGAGUGAAGACCAGGAGGCCUACACAUGUCAGGAACCAAAAGCUGGCUUCUGUUCUGGGGGAGGAGGAGGAAAGCAUCAAGCAGCUGUGAGGAAGUCAAGCCACUGCUAUUGGAUUUUAAGGGAAGCUUUACAGGUGAGCAUACAACUGGCCUGGCUUUUCAUUCAGUUACUUUGACAUCGAUGCAGUCAUGUCAACAACAAAUUAAUUGAACUUGGUGUCUCUCAGGAUCUUUCCAAGCAAAUUCCAGCUGGCUGGGCAUGAAAACUGACUGAAGAACCGCACAGAAAAACGACAACAGGAAGAGCAUGAAUUUUGUCUAGUAACAGCACGAAUAAGGUUCUGACACAUGAGGAAACACCAAAAGAACUUAGGUGUCUGUGGGCUAACAUGUAAAACAGAGACUUAAAAUUUUUAAAACUGCUUCCUUGGCCUGUAAGAACUCAUCCAAGUGUACUUAAGGGUGUGAAAGAUAAAGAAUCCGUGUUAGAGUAUAGGUAGGGAAUAAGAAGAUGAAAUAGAUAAAAUUUGAGUGUGGAAGUGAGUUUAACAACAUCACCUAAAACACACUUCAGCAGACGAGCUGCUGGAGAGAUAUACCAAGAUGUCCAGAUGAUAUUAGUUUAAAAAUGAUGUAAUUGUACCAUUGUUUUAUCUGUCAUUUCUCUACCAUCUGUUGUACAUUUGCAAUGCAUUUUCAGAGCAAAUCUUUUCUUCUUUUGUCAAAUAAAAGACUCAAACUGAGGAAAGAAAACUGAGCCCUCAGGGAGCCUGUACAAUGGAUGGUAUGAAAUGUUUUAGACUUUUACAACACCUUAAAAAAAAGAUUUGGAUAGCAUGUGCAAUCUGAAUUAGAGAACACUGUUUCAAUUUUCUUGCUUUGCAAUUGAAGAAAUAAACUAUAUUAAGCUCGCCUUCUUUUGACCCAGUGUUCUUGUCCUAAUCACAGAAGUGUAUGUCACCCUCAACCUCAUUGGUUUUGGAGUUCAAGAGAUCCCUAAUCCUGCCUCUGUUGUGAGGAGGCAACUGCAAAAUGUCGGAACUUAAAUUCAUCCUUCAAGCACUCUUGGGUCUUCAGAGGGAGACAGCUCCACUGCUGUUUGUGUUCUCUCAUCAAGGAGCAGACUUCAGAAGAAAGUCUGUCUGAAACACCUUUGCCCAUUUGAUGAUGCAAGAGAAAAUAGGUAUUGAAAGGGCAGAAACAUUGCCAAGACAGAU